rnacentral:misc_RNA from 1 species
UCCGAGUUGACCCCGGCAGUCUUUCACGAGUCCCCACCAUUACGUGCUGGCAACAUGAGACAAGGGUUGCGCUCGUUGCGGGACUUAACCCAACAUCUCACGACACGAGCUGACGACAGCCAUGCACCACCUGCACACCAGCCACAAGGGAACCGACAUCUCUGCCGGCGUCUAGUGCAUGUCAAGCCCAGGUAAGGUUCUUCGCGUUACAUCGAAUUAAUCCACAUCAUCCACCGCUUGUGCGGGUCCCCGUCAAUUCCUUUGAGUUUUAAUCUUGCGACCGUACUCCCCAGGCAGUCGACUUCACGCGUUAGCUGCGGUACUAAGGAAGUCUCCUUCCCCAACACCUAGUCGACAUCGUUUAGGGCGUGGACUAC